UACGGAGGGUGCAAGCGUUAUCCGGAUUCACUGGGUUUAAAGGGUGCGUAGGUGGGUUGGUAAGUCAGUGGUGAAAUCCCCGAGCUUAACUUGGGAACUGCCAUUGAUACUAUCAGUCUUGAAUACCGUGGAGGUCAGCGGAAUAUGUCAUGUAGCGGUGAAAUGCUUAGAUAUGACAUAGAACACCAAUUGCGAAGGCAGCUGGCUGCUCGGAUAUUGACACUGAGGCACGAAAGCGUGGGGAUCAAACAGG
rnacentral:rRNA from 1 species